rnacentral:rRNA from 1 species
AUUGAACGCUGGCGGCAGGCCUAACACAUGCAAGUCGAGCGGUAGAGAGGUGCUUGCAUCUCUUGAGAGCGGCGGACGGGUGAGUAAUGCCUAGGAAUCUGCCCUAGUGGUGGGGGAUAACGUUCGGAAACGGACGCUAAUACCGCAUACGUCCUACGGGAGAAAGCGGGGGGAUCUUCGGACCUCGCGCCAUUAGAUGAGCCUAGGUCGGAUUAGCUAGUUGGUGAGGUAAUGGCUCAACCAAGGCGAACGAUCCGUAACUGGUCUGAGAGGAUGAUC